AUGGCUCACAGAAGGCUAACCCUCUUGUUGGUUGUUCUGUUUGUUUUGUCUGUCGCUGAAAGUCAGACCAUAACAGAGUCUGAACCAGCAGUUAAGAAACCCGGAGAAUCUCACAGACUGACCUGCACAACAUCUGGAUUCAACUUUGGAGGCUCAGUGUGGAACUGGAUCAGACAGGCUCCUGGAAAAGGACUGGAGUGGAUCGCUUUUAUACACACUCAGAGUACUCCUAUCUAUUACUCUGAGUCAGUCAAAGGAAGAUUCAGUAUCUCCAGAGAUGACUCCAGCAGUAAAGUGUAUCUGCAGAUGAACAGUCUGAAGGCCGAGGACACAGCAGUGUAUUACUGUGCUAAAGAGACACAGUGA